AAUAUUUGACAAUGGGGGCAACCCUCAUCCAGCCAUGCCGCGUGUGUGAAGAAGGUCUUCGGAUUGUAAAGCACUUUCAGCUGGGAGGAAGGGCUUUAGGUUAAUACCCUGAAGUUUUGACAUUACCAACAUAAUAAGCACCGGCUAACGCUGUGCCAGCAGCCGAGGUAAUACAGAGGGUGCAAGCGUUAAUCGGAAUUACUGGGCGUAAAGCGCGCGUAGGUGGUUCAGUAAGAUGGGUGUGAAAUCCCCGGGCUUAACCUGGGAACUGCUUUCAUAACUGCUGAGCUAGAGUACGGUAGAGGGUAGGGGAAUUUCCUGUGUAGCGGUGAAAUGCGUAGAUAUAGGAAGGAACACCAGUGGCGAAGGCGACUACCUGGACUGAUACUGACACUGAGGUGCGAAAGCGUGGGGAGCAAAC
rnacentral:rRNA from 1 species